rnacentral:rRNA from 1 species
UACGUAGGGGGCUAGCGUUGUCCGGAAUCAUUGGGCGUAAAGCGCGUGUAGGCGGUCCGGUAAGUCCGCUGUGAAAGUCGGGGGCUCAACCCUCGAAUGCCGGUGGAUACUGUCGGGCUAGAGUGCGGAAGAGGCGAGUGGAAUUCCUGGUGUAGCGGUGAAAUGCGCAGAUAUCAGGAGGAACACCAAUUGCGAAGGCAGCUCGCUGGGACGUUACUGACGCUGAGACGCGAAAGCGUGGGGAUCAAACAGG